rnacentral:rRNA from 1 species
AGAGCAAGAGCCCGGAGACGGAAUCUGAGACAAGAUUCCGGGCCCUACGGGGCGCAGCAGGCGCGAAACCUUUACACUGCACGCAAGUGCGAUAAGGGGACCCCAAGUGCGAGGGCAUAUAGUCCUCGCUUUUCUCGACUGUAAGGCGGUCGAGGAAUAAGAGCUGGGCAAGACCGGUGCCAGCCGCCGCGGUAAUACCGGCAGCUCAAGUGAUGACCGAUGUUAUUGGGCCUAAAGCGUCCGUAGCCGGCCACGAAGGUUCAUCGGGAAAUCCGCCAGCUCAACUGGCGGGCGUCCGGUGAAAACCACGUGGCUUGGGACCGGAAGGCUCGAGGGGUACGUCCGGGGUAGGAGUGAAAUCCCGUAAUCCUGGACGGACCACCGAUGGCGAAAGCACCUCGAGAAGACGGAUCCGACGGUGAGGGACGAAAGCUAGGGUCUCGAACCGGAUUAGAUACCCGGGUAGUCCUAGCUGUAAACGAUGCUCGCUAGGUGUGACACAGGCUACGAGCCUGUGUUGUGCCGUAGGGAAGCCGAGAAGCGAGCCGCCUGGGAAGUACGUCCGCAAGGAUGAAACUUAAAGGAAUUGGCGGGGGAGCACUACAACCGGAGGAGCCUGCGGUUUAAUUGGACUCAACGCCGGACAUCUCACCAGCUCCGACUAUAGUAAUGACGAUCAGGUUGAUGACCUUAUCACGACGCUAUAGAGAGGAGGUGCAUGGCCGCCGUCAGCUCGUACCGUGAGGCGUCCUGUUAAGUCAGGCAACGAGCGAGACCCGCACUUCUAAUUGCCAGCAGCAGUUUCGACUGGCUGGGUACAUUAGAAGGACUGCCGCUGCUAAAGCGGAGGAAGGAACGGGCAACGGUAGGUCAGUAUGCCCCGAAUGAGCUGGGCUACACGCGGGCUACAAUGGUCGAGACAAUGGGUUGCUAUCUCGAAAGAGAACGCUAAUCUCCUAAACUCGAUCGUAGUUCGGAUUGAGGGCUGAAACUCGCCCUCAUGAAGCUGGAUUCGGUAGUAAUCGCAUUUCAAUAGAGUGCGGUGAAUACGUCCCUGCUCCUUGCACACACCGCCCGUCAAAG